AAAGUAAAGUUGUAGUUUAUUAUAUUUUAUUUUCCAUUGUACCAUUUGACUGUAUUUUUAUUUUUGAUCAAAAGAUUGUGUUCCAUUCAUCUUUGGAACCCAAAGUUACAAGUGAUUUGAGUGAGCUGUAUAGCUUCCACAUCAGAGAAUUGAUACUCCAUACAUUUUAUCUAAUCUUAAGACGUGUUAAAUGCACGAUGGAGAAUAAUAUCUAUACAAGUUACAUCUUCCUCCAACAAUUUAAAAUAUUAGUAUUGGGGAUCAAAAUUCAGCCUAACAACAGUCUUCUUCUUUGUGUUCGUACCGAGGGAACUUCCAUCUAUCAAUAUUCAAAAGUACCUUGAUUUCUUUUGGGAGUAUGUUGAAGUUAAUGUAGAUGUGAACUUGGUUUCAAUUAUGUACUAAAAAGACAAUCUAUCAUCCACUUUGUAAGUUUCACCAUAUAUAUAGUAGUUGCUUGUAAUCAUGUAUCGGUUUAACAGAUCUUUAUUAUCUUUAAUAGUUUCUUCGAUCUUCCAUGGUGUUUUCCUUUCAUUAUUCACACAAUUGUGCAACAAAAAUUAAAGGAAUCAGUUUCAUAAAUAGUUUUUUGAUACCUUUCCCAAUACACCAGUUAUGUCCAAACAACGUGACUUUAGUCUCGAACUAGUUAUUAGUGCUAUCUCCUAAAGAUUCAGAGAAUGCCAUGGUGAAUCUGAUUGUAACAAGUUGUGUUGAUCUUAUUACUUUUGUUAUUCUUUAUAUUCUUUAAUAUAAGUUGUGUGUAAUUUUCAUGGUUAUGGCUCCUAGUAUGGAAUGGAUGAAACUUGUUGACGAAACCUACUUAGUUGGUAUGCAAAAUUUUUUAGAUUUCGCUUUCAAAAAGCAGGAAAGGUAUAUGAAAUGCAACAUUCAUGUGUCGAAUUCUGCAAUACAACUUUGGGGACUCGUAAAAUAGUUGAGACACAUUUUCUGUUUCAACUGAAUAACAAAUAUUUGAUGCUCAACAUUCACAUGUCUAACUACCUACUCACUGUUUAUGUACCGCCCCGCAAGGUGUUACAUUAAAAUCCGACGAUUUCAGCCGCUUCGUUAAUGCGGCAGCAUCCUAUCGAGGCUCGGAGGGUCAAGAGAUUGUGACAAACUCCAUCCCAACCGUUGGGGUUUUCUUGUAGGCAAGGAUGAACAUUUAAUGCUCACCAUGUCCAGCCAAGAACACCCCCAAUGCAGAGGACAAAAUCUGUGCAGCAGUUUCUCCAAGUGGCAAUAAAGUAGAAAAGCAAAUCUGCUCAUUUGUUUCAGUCUUGUAAGACUGCCACUUAUAGCCUUUCUGUUGGAAUUUGUUCCCAAACGUUUUAACUUACUUAUAAUCCCUUCGUAUAUUGUUUUAGGCAGCAUAUCUUAUAUCUCAUCUUGUAAAAAGAUACUUGGAGAAAAUAUUGGAAAAUUGGCUUUUGCCUCCCAAAGACCUUUGUCUUCCAUACUUGCUUCCCUCACUAUUUUGUGGCCUUGUUUGUUUGACUGUCUUGCUUGUUGUUUCCUUGUGUGUUUGGUUGGCUAUUGGACUGAGUUUUGAAGAGUUGUGCAAGCCUUCAUAUACUGCCCCGCAAGGUGAAAAUUUUACUCGGUGCUAGUGGUAUCAGAGAAUCGAUCGAAGCAUGACGUCGAAGUCCUAACAGAAUGAGGAGGCUGUCCAAGACAAGAAGUCCGAAGUUCGGAAGGAUCCUUCCAAGAAACGUGACAAGAUCAAGGUAAGAGAACCUUCUUGUAACCCUUCUCUUGGUAGUAGAGCUGCUGGUGAAGAGGGGGAAGGUGCGGACAAUAGCCAACACGAUGAGAAAACCAUCGGAGUUGAGGCGGGGUUGUCAGCCUUAAAUAGAAGGAUUGUUGUUGUUGAGAACAACUUAAGUUCUCUCGAAUUUGUAGCCAUUGAAGGGCUGGAAGAGGUGAGGAACAACCUUGUUGAGCCUGAGGAAGUUCACAAAGAGGGUUUAUCCAACCUCGAACUCAAGAUCAACGAGGCCAUCUCUUCCCUUCAAAGAGAGGUUGAGGCACUAAAAUGGCAGGUUGAUGAGGCUGCCGAGAUGGGGGUUGCUGCUCUGGUUACUGUGCGUGAGACAUGCAUUGAGGCUCCCAAACCCAAGGAAUUUCGUGGAGAAAGGAGUGCUCAAGACGUGGAAAAUUUCUUAUGGCAGAUGGAUGCUUACUUUGAGCACGUAAACAUGCAAAACGAGGUUGCCAAAAUCAGAAGGACAACCAUUAUCUGAUUGAUAUGACAGUGUUGUGGUGGCGAAGGAAGAAGGCGGACAUGGAGAAGGGGGUCUGUUGUAUUCGUUUAACUUCCUCUAUUCGGGACUAUGUGAAAGAGUUCACGGAAUUGACACUCCAAAUUCCGAGCUUGACCAAUGAAGACUUGCUGUUUUACUUCAUGGAUGGACUCUAGAACUGGGCCAAACAAAAGCUUCAAAGACGUCAAGUUCACGACGUGGACGAGGCGAUAGUAGUGGUAGAAUCGCUCAAUGAUUUUCGGGUAGAUGCGGCAAAGGGGAGGGAUAAUCGGAGCAAAACUAUUCCUCCCAAGGAUGAAACAACAGGAACGAAUGCAUAUCGAAUCAAAACCAAGGCAGCGACACAAGAAGUAACACUCGUGAUCGACCUCUAAUUUCUACAAGAGUUACGAGAACUGCAGGAAAGGCGCUCCUCAUCGUGAAGGUUGUUAUAUUUGUGGGGAGACGACGCAUGCUGCUCGUUAUUGUCCAUCCUUGAGAAAAUUGAGUGUUAUGGUGGCUGCCGAAAAGCAGCAAGAAAAGGCUGCGAUGCAAACCAGAGGUUCUGUCGCGGAGCAACGGGGGCAGAAUAGCGGGAUGGACAAGGGAAAAAACGUUAUUGUUGGUAUGUUCAAUCAUAUGGAUUUAUUUAAUCAUAUUUCAAUUGCUGCUUUGGCUGCUCAAUCGGCUAGUAUCAAGCCGCGAGAAUCACUGUUUGUCGAUGCCAAGUUAAAUGGCAAGGACGUGCGAAUUAUGUUGGACACUGGUGCAACGCAUAAUUUUGUGACGGAACAAAAGGCCAAGGAGCUUGGCCUGAAUUAUGUUGCCAGCAACACCAUGUUGAAGACAAUCAAUGCCACUCCCACUUUUGUCCAUGGCUUUGCUCCUAAAGUCUCUAUCGAUUUAGGAGAUUGGUCGGGGCUGAUCGACUUCACCAUUGUACCGAUGGACGUGUUCGAUGUAAUUUUGGGGUUGGACUUUUAGUACGAGGUUAACGCGUUUAUCUCACCGCAUCACAACCAGCUACACAUCAGCGACACCGGAGACUCAUGCGUGGUACCCCUUAUUCGGGUACCACAAAAUGGGAUACACUUAUUGGCUAUGCAGAUUAUUAAGGGCUUCAAAAGAGGUGAACCAACCUUUCUUGUUGCCCUUGUUGGAGGCAUCGAAAGCUGUUCCGAGGCGGUUCCAUUGCAUCAUUGCAUUGAGCAGGUCCUUAGCGAAAUAAGGACGUGUUGGCGGAAGAGCUUCCCCAACGGUUGCCACUCUGAAGGGAAGUUGAUCAUCCUUAUCGUAUGGCGCCCCCAGAACUGGAAGAAUUGAGGAAACAACUCAAGGAGCUGCUUGAUUCGGGACACAUUAGGCCGUCUAAGGCGUUGUUUGGUGCGCCUGUCCUGUUUCAAAAGAAGAAGGAGGGGACGCUGUGACUAUGUAUCGUUUAGCGGGCCCUCAAUAAGGUCAUGGUGAAGAACAAGUAUCCAAUUCCCUUGAUUAUGAUUUAUUUGAUAGAUUGGGACAGGCCAAAGUGUUCAUGAAGAUGGUUUUGAGGAAGGGUUAUUACUAAGUUCGAAUUACCGAGGGUGAUAAACCCAAGACGACUUGUGUGACGCGCUAUGGUGCCUUCCAGUGGCUGGUCAUGCCCUUUGGCUUGACGAAUGCACCGGCGACGUUCUGUACGUUGAUGAACAAGUUGUUCCACCAAUACUUGCAUCAGUUUGUGGUGAUUUAUUUAGACGAUAUCGUCGUCUAUAGCGACAUCAUGGAGGAUCACGUGGAGCAAUUGCGCAAAGUGUUCAAGGUUUUGCGCUACAAUGACUUGUGCGUGAAGUGGGAGAAAUGCAGCUUCGCUCAACCUACUGUCCAAUUCCUCGGGCAUACAAUCAGCCAUGGCGAGAUAAGGAUGGACGGCGACAAGGUGGAAGCUAUUAAGAAUUAGGAGGCUCCAACGAAGGUACCCAAAUUACGGUCCUUCCUUGGCCUUGCCAAUUAUUAUCGAUGCUUUAUUUUUCAGCUAUUCAGCUAUUGCAACCCGACUCACUGAUUUGCUGAGUAAGAACCGUGAGUGGGAAAGGUCGGAUGCUUGUCAAGCUGCCUUCGAUAGGUUUAAGGCUGAUAUCACGGAAGAACCUAUUUUGGCCUUACCUGAUUUCACUAAGGCGUUUGAGGUUCACACUGAUGCGUCGGACUUUGCCAUUAAUGGCAUCCUAAUGCAAGAGGGCCACCCGAUAGCAUUUGAAAGCAGAAAGUUGAAUGAGGCGAAGAGGAGGUACUCUGCUCAUGAGAGGGAGAUGACGGCUGUAGUUCAUUGUCUUAGAACUUGGCGUCAUUACGUGUUGGGUGCUCACUUUGUCGUCAAGACGGAAACCGUCGCGAUGACAUAUUUUCAAUCUCAAAAGAAGCUGACUGCUAAGCAGGCCCGUUGGCAGGAUUUCUUGGCAGAAUUCAAUUUCACGUUUGAAUACAAGUCGGGCAAGGCUAAUGUCGUUGCCGACACGCUUAGUCGCAAGGACGCCUUGGCUACAAUCGUGAGCUCGAAUUGCAGCUCUAUUGUUGAGGGGAUAAAAGAGGGCAUGCAUUAUGAUCCCGUAGCGAAACAACUCUUCGCCUUGGCCCAACAAGGCAAGACGAAGAAAUUCUGGGAAGAGGAUGGUCUGCUCUAUACUACUGGCAGGCGUGUGUAUGUUCUGAAGUGGGCUAACCUUCAGCAUACGUUGAUCAAUGAGGAGCACGACACUGCUUGGGCUGGUCAUCCUGGUAGAAGAGAACUUUAGCCUUGAUAGAGGCUUCUUAUUAUUGGCCUCGGAUGCGGGACGACACCGAGGCAUAUGUGCGGACUUGUCUAAUUUGUCAACAAGACAAGGUCGAGACGAAGGCGCCGGGUGGACUGCUUGAGCCGCUGCCCAUUGCAAAAAACCUUGGGAUAGCGUCACGAUGGAUUUCAUUACUUGCUUGCCGAACUCGGAAGGGUUUGGACGAUUAUGGUCGUGGUGGAUUGCUUCUCAAAGUAUGCAACAAUCACUGCCACGACGGCCAGUUGCAAGGCUAAGGAGGUAGCUCAUAUCUUCUUGCGCGACGUCGUCAAGUAUUGGGACAUCCCCAAGUACAUCAUUAGUGAUCGAGAUCCUCGAUUUACCGGAACAUUUUGGAGAGUGUUAUUCAGUCUCUUGGGGUGAGAACUGCACUUUUCAACCAGUUUCCAUCCUCAAACGGAUAGGCUGACAGAGCGGAUCAAUGCGCUCUUGGAGUGUUAUUUGCGGCACUAUGUUAGUGCCAACCAAAAGGAUUGGGCCAAGCUGCUGGACACUGCCCAAUUCUCUUAUAAUUUGCAGCGGAGCGAAGCGACGGGGAGGAUUCCUUUUGAAUUAGCAACAGGGCGGCAGCCUAAUACGCCCCAAUCCUUGCCUGUUAAUGCCGGUUUGAAGAGUCCGGAUGCCUAUCAUAUGGCGAAAGCCUGGGAGGAACAAGUCGACCUUGCACGGUCGUAUCUUGAUAAGGCAGCCCGGAAAAUGAAAAAUUUUGCUGAUCAGAAGCGGCACCGGUUGAUUACCGAAUUGGGGAUCGAGUUAUGGUGAAACUCAAUGAAGACAGUUCAAGUCAUUGCGGAGUGUGAGUCAAAGUUUGAUUCGCAAGUAUGAAGGGUCUUUUGAGAUCAUUGCCAAGGAUGGCAAGAUUUCAUAUCGAAUAGACAUGCCCCAUCAUUUGAAGAUUCAGCCUUUCUUCCAUGCAUGCCUAUUGAAACCGUAUGUUGAAGAUAUGGAAGACAAAGAGCGGGGGCAGUCUGGUAGAGCUAGAAUUUUCAUCACACCGCCAACCGUGGACAAGCAGAUUGAGUCCAUAAUUGAUCAUUAACUUGUUCGUGGAAAGGGCUGGAAAAACUCAAGCUCACAGUUCCUAGUUCAUUGGAAAGGACCAGAGGAGACGACGUGGGAAAAGUAUGAGGACCUGUGGCAGUUUUGCGACAAGGUCCACAAUAAUUUGCAAUUGUGUGGCGUCGGGGUCGUCGCCAAAUCAGGUGGGGGAGCGUGUACCGCCCUGCAAGGCAUUAAUUGAAAUCCGACGAUUCCAGCCCGUUCGUUAACGCGGCUGCAUCCUAUCGAGGCUCGGAGAGUCAAGAGAUUAUGCCAAACUCCAGCCCAACCGUUGGGGGUUUCUUGUAGGCAAGAAUGAACAUUUAAUGCCCACCAUGUCCAGCCAAGAACACCCCCCAAUGCUGAGGAUAAAAUCUGUGCAGCAGUUUCUCCAAGUGGCAAUAAAGCAGAAAAGCAAAUGUGCCCACUUUUUCAGCCUUGUAAAGACUGCCACUUGUAGCCUUUCUUUUGGAAUUUGUUCCCAAACAUUUUAAGUUACUUAUAAGCCCUUUGUAUAUUGUUUUAGGCAGCAUAUCUUGUAUCUCAUCUUGUAAAAAGAUAUUUGGAGAAAAUAUUGGAAAAUUGGCUCUUGCCUCCCAAAGAACUUUGUCUUCUUUGCGUUGCUUUCCUUACUGUUUUGUGGUCUGUUUGUUUGAUUGUCUUGCUUGUUGUUUCUUGUGUGUUUGGUUGGCUGUUGGACUGAGUUUUGAAGAGCUGUGCAAGCCUUCAUAUACUGUCCCACGAGGUGAAAAUUUGACCCCGUGACUGUUUAGCUCCAUUGCUAACUGUAGAGGAUUUUGAUUUUUAAUCUUUGUAAGUAAGUUAGUAGACUUGCUUAUAUGAUUGAUCCUUAGUUGCUUGUUUUCGACAUAUUUCUUCAUUUUGGAAGCUUUUGUUGAUGUUUCUGGACAACCCUCAAUGAAUUGAAGAUCGAAACUUUUAACUUUCUUCCAAGCUUUUGUUGAUGCUUAGAUGUGUGUUUUGACAAUCAAAUAUUAUAACUAAAAAUAUGAUAUGUUAGCCACUCUAAUGUAAAAUCGUACACUCUUGAUCUCUAUCUUCUUGUCUCUUCUAUAUAUAUUUAUAUCAUCUAUUUGUAUAAAAAAAAUUUGGUAAUUAAUAUGUGCAUGAUUUCAAUUGCUCUAUGACCAUUGGUGGUUAGUUAGAAACCAAAAUUAUUACUUGUCCCCGAAGGUUAAUCUAAGAUGAGAAAUGUUGCUCGUCUCUAACGAUUAAGCUAGGAUUAGAAUAGUUUGAUUGUCACUAAAUCUAUUUUAGGACGAGGUCAUUGAAUGUAACUAAAUCUAUUCAAAGAGCAGGUCGUUGGUCGUCGCGAAAACUAUUCUAGGGCCAACUAGUUACUGGUCUUUAACAUGUUUCUAGGACCAGGUCGUUGGUCGUCGCUAAAGGUGUCCUAUGACCUAUUAAUGAUCGUCCCUAAUGAGGAUUAACGACCAGAAAUGAGCUUUUUGUUAGAUAUCUUAAAAGUAUUUGAGACCAGAAUUGUUGUCUCUAAAAUGACUUAGGCGGCUAGAUUUCUUUACCGACCCUAAACUGUUUAACGACCGGAUUUUUAAUAACUUAAAGAAAUCCAAUUUAGAUGUGCAAAUAAAAGUUAAACGUAUAUGAUCAUUUACAUUUUAUGUAGCAUAUCCAAAUGAAUCCAAAAAAAAAUAAUCUAUUUCUUGGUAGUCAAGAAAACCCACCUAGCUAUAAACUUGUAACAUGUCUAAGAUAUGGAGAGGAUAAGAUCACUAGAAACUUAGAUAGCACCAAAUGGUGUAGGGUACGUGGGGGAUAGACCACACCUUAGUUUUUUCACUUCAUCUUUUUUUAGCACAAAGUUUAGUUUGUAUUUUUUAAUAACUUAAAAUUUGGAAAGAAUUAUUGCAUACUAGUGACAACAUUGUUACGUCAUUCGCUAAUAUUCUUUAUUUAUAAUAUAACUAUCUCUAAUGUAGUUAAAUUAGCACGUUAUUCAUCAUAUUGCUUCUUCAUCGUAAUUUGGUGUACAAAACAAAAUCAGAUACUGUCUCCUCCUUUGUUUCUGAUGAUCAUGGUCCUCUUCCUAGUAUUUCUACACAGUUAGCCAAAUUUGGGUGCAUCAUGCAAGGCUCAAACAUAAUAUAUAAACUGUACAAAACUUUAUUUCUUUUCGUAACUUUCCGAAAAUGGCCAAAUAAAUCAACGCCCCAAAAUGGAAGAAAAAUCAAGAAAAAAACAAAAACAGUACAAAGAAUGGUUGAAUUUUUUUUUUACUUGCACCAAUGACCUUUGAAUAUAACGAAAAAUUAGAGAAGGAAAAUGGCCAAAAUAUUUCUUAAAUGCCCUAAAAUUAUCGAAAAAUCAAAAAACAUACAUAAAGAGUACAAAAAACACCUCAAAAAUAUUUUUUACUUGCUCCAAUGACCUUAAAAUAUCGUGAAAAAUAAGAGAACAAAACUUCACUUCUUUUUGUAACUACCCAAAAAUGGUUGAAUAUUAUGUUAAUGCCCCAAAAUGACCGAAAAAUCAUGAAACACAUUAAAAAAAUAAAAAAUACCUUAAAUUCUUUUUGACUUGCAGCAAUGACCUUAGAAUUUCGUGAUGAAUAAAAGAAUAAAAAUUUAUUUGGUUUCGUAACUUCCCGAAAAAGGUCAAAUAUUAGGUAAAUGCCUCAAAUGACCAAAAAAUGAAGAAACACGCACAAACAAUAUAAAAAACUCCUCAAUUUUUUUUUAAAACUUGCACCAGUUACUUCAGUAUAUUGUGACGAAUAAACUUUAAAACUUUAUUCCUUUUCAUAACUGGUAAAAAAUGAUCGAAUAUUAUGUAAAUGCAAAAAAUAGCCAAAAAAUCAAGAAACUAACAUUAGAUAAUACAAAUAACGUCUCAAAAAAAUCUCGAAUUGCACCAAUGACCUUAGAAUAUUGUAAUGAAUAAAAGAGAAAAAAAGUAUUUCUUUUAGUAAUUUUACGAAAAUAACUGAAUAUUACGUAAAUGCCCAAAAUGGUUGAGAAUCAAGAAACAUAAACAAUAAAAAAAUGUCUCAAAAGAAUUCUACUUUCAUCCAUGACCUUAGAAUAUCGGGAUGAAUAAGCAAACAAAAUUAAACUUCUUUUUGUAACUGCCUAAAAUGGACGAUUAUUACGUAAAUGCCCCUAAAUGGAUGAAAUAACAAGAAACACACAUAAAAAAAAUACAAAAUACACCUCAAUUUUUUUGACAUGCAUCAAUGGCCUUAGAUCGAGAAGAAUAUGAGAACAAAAUAUUUUUUUCCCGUAACUCUCCGAAAUAGCAGAAUGAUACAUUAAUGCUCCUAAAAUGAUUGAAAAUCAAGAAACAUACAUAAAAGCUUCUAAUUUCGUAACUACAUGAAAAUAGAUGAAUAGUACAUUCAUGCCCCAAAUAGGCUGAAAAUCAAGAAAUACAAAUAAACAAUACAAAAAACGCCUCCAAAAGUUUCCAACUUGACCCAAUGACAUUAGAAUGUCGUGGCGGAAAACAGAACAAACUUUAUUUCUUUUCUUACCUGCCCAAAAAUUAUCGAAUAUUACGUAGAUGCCCUAGAAUGACCGGAAAUCAAUAAGAAAUAAACAAUAAAAAGAUCCUCGAAAAAAUAUGACUUUCACUAAUGACCUUAGAAUAUUGUGACGAAUAAGAGAACAAAAAUUUACUUUUUUUCUUUACUGCCAGAAAAUGACCAAAUAUUACGUAAAUACCCCAAAAUGACCGAAAAUCAAGAAACACGUAUAAACAAUACAAAAAGUUUCUCAUAAAAAUUUCAACUUGCACCAAUGACCUUAAAUAUCAGAAGAACAAAACAUUAUUUCUUUUUGUGACAGUCCGAAAAUUAUCGAAUAUUAUCCAAAUGCUUCAAAAUGGCCAAAAAAUCAAGAAACACUCAUCAACAACACAAAAAAUGACAUGAAAGAAAUUUCGGCUUCCACCAAUGACCUUAGAAUAUUAUGAUGAAUAAUAGAACAAAAUCUUACUUAUUUCCGGAACUACCUAAAUAUGAACGAAGUUGACGUAAAUACCCAUAAAAUGGCUAAAAAAUCAAGAAACAAACCAAAACAGUAAAAAAAAUGCCUCAAAAUAUUUUUUGAUUUUCACCAUUGACCUUAGAAUAUAGUAACAAAUAAGAGAACAAAACUUGACUUCUUUUCGUACUGCCUGAAAAUGGCCGAACAUCAUAUAAAUGACCUAAAAAUAAAGAAACACACAUAAACAAUACAAAAAAAUACCUCAAAAAAUGUUCUAUUUGUAGUAAUGACCUUAAACUAUCAUGACGGACAAUAGAACAAAACUUUGUUUCUUGUCGUAACUGCCGGAAUAUUACAUAAAUGCCCUAAAAUGACUGAAAAAUCAAGAAACACAUUAACAAUACGAAAAAUGCGGUCAAUUAUUUUGACUUGCACCAAUGACCUUGGAAUACUGUGACAAAAAACAGAGCAAAACUUCGCUUUGUUUUUGUCACUACCCGAAAAUGACCAAAUAUUAUGUAAAUGCCUAAAAUAGCCAAAAAUAAAAAAACACACAUAAAUAAUACAAAAAAUGCCUCAAAAUAUUUUUUGAAUUGCUCCAAUAAACUUAUAAUAUUGUGACAUAUAACAGAAAAAAAAUUUACUUCUUUUCAUAACUGCGCAAAAAUGGCUGAAUUUUUAAAAAUGCCUCCAAAAUGACCGAAUAUUUUGUAAAUGCCCCAAAAUGAGGCAUUUAGUGAUUGGGGUGAGAUCCAUCGGAGUUUAGAAAAGUUAAAAUUGAAAAUCGGAGAACAAAAGUUUGAAAUCACGUCAGACAAGUUCUGGGGCGCCGCGCUUGCCAGAGCUCCUUAGAGCAGCCUCUGUCUUACAGGGCCUGGCGUGCCGCGCUAGCAAGAUCCCCUCAGGACAAUAUUUAUCCGUCAGGCUCUUGCGCCCCGCGCCUCUGCGAGCACCAAGACCUUCUGGGGACCCCGUUCUUUCCGUAUCUUUUUGUACUAGUUCCUAAGUGAUGUACCUAUAAUUUCUAGUUGAUUACAACACUCUAAAGUACAUAUUAAACAUCAUUAAAUCAUCCAUUUACAUGAGAUCAUGAUCCUUGAAUCUAUAAUUCAAUUCUAGAAAUUUUAAGAUCAAAGUCAAGGUAGUUACGAGUCAAGCUUAAAAGUAAAGAAACAAGUCAAAGUAAGUUCUUAAGGUUUUCAAAGAGUAAACAAUCAUUUUAACUUUUGUUUAAGGCUCAAGUUACAAGUUGAGCAAAGAGUAAGGAGUUGAGUUAAAUUUUCAAAAGCUAUAAGGGAACUAAGUAGUCCCUAAAGGUUUAUAAAUACUUUCACAUUUAAUUUAAAAGGGAACUAAGAGUUCCAAAAGAGUUUUGAACAAAUAAGGGGAACAUUGAUUUCUAAAGGAGCUUUUUAAAACUAAAGGGUUCAGUAAAUUAUCUCAACCCCAAGGAAAGUUUUAUUAAAAGUAUGAGCUUAAGUAUAUUUUGGGAGCAGUAUCUGAGCACCGAUGUGGGAAUGAGAGUUUAUAUUAACUCAAGUCUCCAUGUAAACCAUGAAGCCGUCAUGGGAAUUGACAGGUCAUUUUUUUAGAUGAUUACGUAAGGUAAUUUAGUGGAUCCACUAAUCUAAGUAAGGUCCUAUACGGAUGGCAAGGUUUAGGAUGGUCCUCAGUAGUGUGAGGUGAAACGUUGUAUCAUAACUUGGGCUUAAAGCGAUGGUUGUCCGUUAGAAAAUCUCCCACAAAAGUUAUAUUACUUUCAUAUAUAAGUAAGGUUGAGUUUGUUAUUGCAUUUCUUUAACGAACUAAGUUGUUUUGUUAUUUUACAAGCUUUAUAUAUAUCACAUUUUUUAAAUUGCUAUACGUACAUACUUUGAGUUAAGUAUAUUCUUGAGUUGAGCAGAGUCAAGGUAAGUUCAUUUUGAUCCCCUCAAGCUUAUGUUGUCUUUUAGUUUCCAACUCGCAUACUCGUACUUUAAAAGUACUGAUGCUAGUUGGUUUUCAUCGUUUCAUGAUGCAGACGCAGGUAACCAGUAUCAGCACACAGCACACCAUUGAUCCAGUUGAGCACUCCGUAGUCACUUGGUGUACCUCCUUGCAUUCCGGAGGGCAUCCCUUUUAUUGCUUUUCUAGCAUAAGUUCAUUAGGAUUUUAUGGGGUCUAUCCGAACAUCCUUCUCAGUCAGUUUAUAGGCUUCAUAGACAAUGUAAUAGUUCUGUUUUGGAGUCUCCUUUAUCUUAUACUUCACAUGUUAUAGUAUUGAGACUUAAGUGCAAUUUUUGCCGAGACAAUUAAUUAAAUUAUCUUAUGAGAAUGCUUUUAACUUUUUUAUCUGAAAUGAGUAAGUCUUCUGCUGAGUUAAGUAAGCCAGACCAAGGGUCCACUCAAGAACAAUAAUGGUCGUUGAGUGCCGGCCACGUCCAGGGUGUAGGCUCCGGGCGUGACAACAAGAUACCUCAAAUAAUUUGACUUGCACCUAUGGCCUUAGAAUUCACGACGAAUAACUGAACAAAACUUUACUUCUUUUCAAUCACUGCCCAAAAAUGGCUGAAUCAUACGUAAAUGCCCAAAAAUAGCCAAAAAAAUUCAAGAAACACACAUGAACAAUAAAAAAGAAUGGCUAAAAUGUUUUUUGAAAUGCACCAAUGACAUUAUAAUACCUUGAAAAAUAACGGAACAAUUUUGUUUCUUUUCAUAACUGCCAAAAAUGGCAGAAUAUUACGUAAAUACCCCAAAUGGUCGAAAAAUUAAAAAACACACAUAAACAUUAUAAAAAAUGCCACAAAAUAUUUUUUAACUGCACCCAUGACAUUAAAAAUAUUGUGACCAAAAAUAGAAAAAAAAUAUCACAUCUAUUCUUAACUGACCGAAAAUGACUGAAUAUUACGUAAAUGUGACCUAAAAUUGUUGAAAUAUCAAGAAAUACAUGUAUACAAUACAAAACGCCUCAAAAAAAUUUAGACUUGCACCAAUGACCUUAGAAUAUCGUGAUGAAUAAUAUAAUAAUACCUUACUUGUUUUCGUAACUAUCAAAAAGUUGCUAAAUAUUUCAUAAAUUCCCUAAAAUAGUUUUAAAAAAUCAAGAAACACACAUAAAAAAUACAAAAAAGCCUCAAUUUUUUUGAAUUGAACCAAUGAACUUAGAAUAUCGUGAUGAAUAACAAAAUAAAAUUUUACUUCUUUUUGUAACUGUCCUAUAAUGACAGAUAAAUGCGCCCUAAACUAGUCAAAAAAUCAAGAAAAUACAUAAAAAAUAAAAAAAAUGCCUCAAACUUUUUAUUGACUUGCAACAAUGACCUUAGAAUAUUGUGAUGAAUAACAGAACAAAACUUUACUUUUUUUCAUAACUGCUCGAAAACGGAACAAUAUUAGAUAAAUUCCAUAAAAUGACCAAAGAGUCGAGAAACACA